rnacentral:tRNA from 1 species
CGCUCUUUAGUUCAUCUCGGUAGAACAAGGCGCUUGCGGAAAUUCAUAGGUGGGUUCGACUCCCACAGGAGCGC